ACAGGGAGGAGAGCAAAGUCCUUCAUUUAUCUACAGGACAGGAACAACACAGGCAGCAGCAAUAAAAGCUUCCCUCACUGUCUUGCCAAUAUGCUCCAAGUGAAGGAAUAACCUGUCGUGGUCAUAGGAUAGUUCUCUAUGAUGGUCUGUGGCCUCU
rnacentral:sRNA from 1 species